rnacentral:rRNA from 1 species
UGGGGAAUCUUGCACAAUGGGGGCAACCCUGAUGCAGCGACGCCGCGUGAGCGAUGAAGCCCUUCGGGGCGUAAAGCUCUUUCGACCGGAACGAUAAUGACGGUACCGGGAGAAGAAGCUGCGGCUAACUACGUGCCAGCAGCCGCGGUAAUACGUAGGCAGCAAGCGUUGUUCGGAGUUACUGGGCGUAAAGAGUGCGUAGGCGGUUUUCUAAGUUCGGUGUGAAAUCUCCCGGCUUAACUGGGAGGGUGCGCCGAAGACUGGGAAGCUGGAGUGUUGGAAAGGCAGGCGGAAUUCCUGGUGUAGCGGUGAAAUGCGUAGAUAUCAGGAGGAACACCUGCGGUGUAGACGGCUUGCUAGACCAUAACUGACGCUGAGGCACGAAAGCGUGGGUAGCAAACA